rnacentral:tRNA from 1 species
AAGGAUUUAAGUUAAAAAAACUAUUAGCCUUCAAAGCUAAAAAUAGAGAAACCCACACUUCUAGGCCUUG